UGUGGUGGCGAAAGUGUUGGAACCAAUUCAUCAUCUGAAGACACGUCAUCCUCAAUAGAUCCACUCCCGCCGACUUGUGAUUCUGUGAAUAAAAAAAAAACAAAGGAUGAGUGCGGCAACAUCAUGUGAAAUUAAUUAUAAGCAGAAUGCGAAUAAAGAUCACCUAUCAUUGAAGACACAGUAAUGGGAAGUUUUCCACGAGCCACUUUAGUUGAAACAUCCAAGGGUGGAUUUUCUGAGCUUCUUGACGGUUCCACAUCGCAUGCCUAUAUAAAAAGAAAGGGUGUCAGAAUGAAUCAACAAAAUUCGAAUCAUAUGGAUGCUACGUCAUACCUUUGACUUUGUUGAAGGAUCUUGCAAGUGCAUUUUACCCCUGGUAGGCAAACUCGUAAUAAGCACUUCCUGUAUACACAAGAAAAGAAAAAAAGGAGUUCAGUAUGC
rnacentral:lncRNA from 1 species